GGACGCGGAUCCAUCGGCUGCGAAAUCACGGUAUAAAAGGUGGACCAUCUGCUCCAGUUGAAUCAAGCCAGUCUUCCACCGUCGACUUCCAGCAUCACUUUGCUCGUUCCUCAACCGAAAAUCAAAAUGUACAAGGUCUUCGUUUUCCUGGCCAUCGUCGCCGCUGCCAGCGCCAUGAGCUUCGGCUUGGGUGCACCUCUCCUCUCCAAAGUGAGCUACCAGCCCACCGAGUACACCCAUGUCCGACCGGAAGUGACUGUCCAACAGCCCGAGUACACCUACAAGAGCUACCCAGUGCCAGUGCCCGUCGCCCAGCCUUACUACACCGCCCCGGUCGUCCGCAACUUCAUCGCGGCACCUCAAUUCCACGCCUACCCCGGACUCGCAGCUCCUUUGGUUUAUUAGAUUAUCUUUUAUUGGAUUUUUUGUUUUGUCUGUCUGAGCUUUUUAUACCCACGAUCCCAUCCAUUCGAUCAAUAAAAACGGACCUCCGAUUUUUCUUGUUAAA